rnacentral:tRNA from 2 species
GGGCUCUUAGCUUAGCUAGGUAGAGCGUCUGGCUCAUAACCAGAUGGCCGUCGGUUCAAAUCCGGCAGGGCCCA